CUUUUCUUGAAAUUACUGGGAGAUAUGGCCUGCCCAAUGAGUGUUUGAAUGGCCGCGGUAUUUUGACCGUGCAAAGGUAGCAUAAUCAUUAGUCUCUUUAUUGGGGACUGGAAUGAAUGGUUGGACGAAAUAAAGACUGUCUUUAAUUUAAUUUGUUUAAUUUAAUUUUUGAGUAAAAAGGCUUAAAUUUUUUUAUGGGACGAGAAGACCCUAUAGAGUUUAAAUAUCUAUAAAGUUGUUUAUURAUGUAUAUUUAUGAUAAACAAUUUUGAUGUAUUUGGUUGGGGWGACUGAAAGAUAUAAAUAACUCUUUGUAUAAGUACUUACUUAUUUGUAUUAGUUUGAUCCAUUAUUAAUGAUUAUAAGACUAAAUUACCUUAGGGAUAACAGCGUAAUCUUUUUUGAGAGUUCUUAUUGACAAAAAGGGUUGCGACCUCGAUGUUGGAUUAAGAUCAUUUUUAGGUGAAGAAGCUUAAAGAUUAGGUCUGUUCGACCUUUAAAUUCUUACA
rnacentral:rRNA from 1 species